rnacentral:rRNA from 1 species
CAGCACGGGUGCUUGCACCUGGUGGCGAGUGGCGAACGGGUGAGUAAUACAUCGGAACAUGUCCUGUAGUGGGGGAUAGCCCGGCGAAAGCCGGAUUAAUACCGCAUACGAUCUUUGGAUGAAAGCGGGGGACCUUCGGGCCUCGCGCUAUAGGGUUGGCCGAUGGCUGAUUAGCUAGUUGGUGGGGUAAAGGCCUACCAAGGCGACGAUCAGUAGCUGGUCUGAGAGGACGACCAGCCACACUGGGACUGAGACACGGCCCAGACUCCUACGGGAGGCAGCAGUGGGGAAUUUUGGACAAUGGGCGAAAGCCUGAUCCAGCAAUGCCGCGUGUGUGAAGAAGGCCUUCGGGUUGUAAAGCACUUUUGUCCGGAAAGAAAUCCUUGGUUCUAAUAUAGCCGGGGGAUGACGGUACCGGAAGAAUAAGCACCGGCUAACUACGUGCCAGCAGCCGCGGUAAUACGUAGGGUGCGAGCGUUAAUCGGAAUUACUGGGCGUAAAGCGUGCGCAGGCGGUUUGCUAAGACCGAUGUGAAAUCCCCGGGCUCAACCUGGGAACUGCAUUGGUGACUGGCAGGCUAGAGUAUGGCAGAGGGGGGUAGAAUUCCACGUGUAGCAGUGAAAUGCGUAGAGAUGUGGAGGAAUACCGAUGGCGAAGGCAGCCCCCUGGGCCAAUACUGACGCUCAUGCA